GACGAACGCUGGCGGCGUGCCUAAUACAUGCAAGUAGAACGCACAGUUUAUACCGUAGCUUGCUACACCAUAGACUGUGAGUUGCGAACGGGUGAGUAACGCGUAGGUAACCUGCCUGGUAGCGGGGGAUAACUAUUGGAAACGAUAGCUAAUACCGCAUAAUAUUAAUUAUUGCAUGAUAAUUGAUUGAAAGAUGCAACUGCAUCACUACCAGAUGGACCUGCGUUGUAUUAGCUAGUAGGUGAGGUAACGGCUCACCUAGGCGACGAUACAUAGCCGACCUGAGAGGGUGAUCGGCCACACUGGGACUGAGACACGGCCCAGACUCCUACGGGAGGCAGCAGUAGGGAAUCUUCGGCAAUGGACGAAAGUCUGACCGAGCAACGCCGCGUGAGUGAAGAAGGUUUUCGGAUCGUAAAGCUCUGUUGUAAGAGAAGAACGGGUGUGAGAGUGGAAAGUCCACACUGUGACGGUAUCUUACCAGAAAGGGACGGCUAACUACGUG
rnacentral:rRNA from 1 species